CAGGACGAACGCUGGCGGCGUGCCUAACACAUGCAAGUCGAACGGGGUAAUCCUUCGGGGUUACUUAGUGGCGAACGGGUGAGUAACGCGUGAGAAACCUGCCUUCCAGUGGGGGACAACAGUUAGAAAUGACUGCUAAUACCGCAUAAUGUUUUCGAGGGGCAUCCCUUGAAAACCAAAGCUUUAUGUGCUGGAAGAUGGUCUCGCGUCUGAUUAGCUAGAUGGCGGGGUAACGGCCCACCAUGGCGACGAUCAGUAGCCGGUCUGAGAGGAUGAACGGCCACAUUGGGACUGAGACACGGCCCAAACUCCUACGGGAGGCAGCAGUGGGGAAUAUUGCACAAUGGGGGAAACCCUGAUGCAGCGACGCCGCGUGAGUGAAGAAGUAUUUCGGUACGUAAAGCUCUAUCAGCAAGGAAGAAAUACCGACCUUUGGUUGCUAGACGGUACUUGACUAAGAAGCCCCGGCUAACUACGUG
rnacentral:rRNA from 1 species